UAGGGAAUCUUCGGCAAUGGACGAAAGUCUGACCGAGCAACGCCGCGUGAGUGAAGAAGGUUUUCGGAUCGUAAAACUCUGUUGUUAGAGAAGAACAAGGACGUUAGUAACUGAACGUCCCCUGACGGUAUCUAACCAGAAAGCCACGGCUAACUACGUGCCAGCAGCCGCGGUAAUACGUAGGUGGCAAGCGUUGUCCGGAUUUAUUGGGCGUAAAGCGAGCGCAGGCGGUUUCUUAAGUCUGAUGUGAAAGCCCCCGGCUCAACCGGGGAGGGUAAUUGAAAACUGGGGGACUGGGGGGAAGAAGGGGGGGUGGAAAUUCCAGGUGUGGGGGGAAAUGGGUAAAUUAAAGGGGGGAAAACAGGUGGCGAGGCGGCUCUCUGGUCUGUAACUGACGCUGAGGCUCGAAAGCGUGGGGAGCAAACAGG
rnacentral:rRNA from 1 species